GGUUGAUCUUCCAUCCAUUUUAGUUAAUAAAUAAAAGAAAAAAUAAAAAGGGUGAUAUGGCAGUAGAUCAAGGAAAAAUUUUGCACCCCAAAUCUAGGCUCUUGUGCUAAAGAGGCCCGGUUCUAUUUGUCGAAGGCUCCAUUGAGUUUCUUAGACAGGAUCAGGCCCAAAUUUAGCUCAUUUUUUAUGUAGUUCUCAUUAAACCUAAACAUAAUACG
rnacentral:lncRNA from 1 species